rnacentral:rRNA from 1 species
GUGGGGAAUAUUGGACAAUGGGGGGAACCCUGAUCCAGCCAUGCCGCGUGUGUGAAGAAGGCCUUUUGGUUGUAAAGCACUUUAAGCGAGGAGGAGGCUACCGAGAUUAAUACUCUUGGAUAGUGGACGUUACUCGCAGAAUAAGCACCGGCUAACUCUGUGCCAGCAGCCGCGGUAAUACAGAGGGUGCAAGCGUUAAUCGGAUUUACUGGGCGUAAAGCGCGCGUAGGUGGCCAAUUAAGUCAAAUGUGAAAUCCCCGAGCUUAACUUGGGAAUUGCAUUCGAUACUGGUUGGCUAGAGUACGGGAGAGGAUGGUAGAAUUCCAGGUGUAGCGGUGAAAUGCGUAGAGAUCUGGAGGAAUACCGAUGGCGAAGGCAGCCAUCUGGCCUAAUACUGACACUGAGGUGCGAAAGCAUGGGGAGCAAACAGGAUUAGAAACCCUUGUAGUCC